rnacentral:rRNA from 1 species
ACGAACGCUGGCGGCGCGCCUAACACAUGCAAGUCGAACGAGCGAGAGAGAGCUUGCUUUCUCGAGCGAGUGGCGAACGGGUGAGUAACGCGUGAGGAACCUGCCUCAAAGAGGGGAACAACAGUUGGAAACGACUGCUAAUACCGCAUAAGCCCACGACCCGGCAUCGGGUCGAGGGAAAAGGAGCAAUCCGCUUUGAGAUGGCCUCGCGUCCGAUUAGCUAGUUGGUGAGGUAACGGCCCACCAAGGCGACGAUCGGUAGCCGGACUGAGAGGUUGAACGGCCACAUUGGGACUGAGACGCGGCCCAGACUCCUACGGGAGGCAGCAGUGGGGAAUAUUGCACAAUGGGGGAAACCCUGAUGCAGCGACGCCGCGUGGAGGAAGAAGGUCUUCGGAUUGUAAACUCCUGUUGUUGAGGAAGAUAAUGACGGUACUCAACAAGGAAGUGACGGCUAACUACGUGCCAGCAGCCGCCGUAA